UGUAUCUGACUCUUUGUGACCCCAUGGACUAUGACAUACCAGGCCUUCCUGUCCCUCGCCAUCUCCUUGAGUUUGCCCAAGUUCAUUUUCAUUGAAUUGGUGAUGCCAUCCAACCAUCUUAUUCCCUGUCACCCUCUUCUUCUGCCUUCAGUCUUUCCCAGCAUCAGGGUCUUUUCCAAUGAGUUGGCUCUUUGUAUCAGAUGGCCAAAGUAUUGGAGCUUCAGCUUCAGCCUCAGUCCUUCCAGUGAGUUUUCAGGUAAAUGUAGAAUUCCCUUGAGAAGUUGCUGUGAAGUUGUGUGGUUUGCUACUUUCUCUGGCAGCAUAGUCUAUGGCCUGCCAAUGCCUCUGAAGGGAGACAGACUGGACUUGUGACACUUUUCAGGUUUGUUUCUUAAACUCACUUCAUGGAUAAACAGCUUCAGUGAGCUUUUCAAGUGAUUCCCAGGAGGUAGAGCACCUCCCUACUGUUCUACAUUAGAGAAUAAUUUAACAGACACUUAAAAGUAUUUCACAGUCUCAGAAUGG
ensembl:lncRNA